GACGAACCGAGCGAACGUUGUUCGGAAUCACUGGGCUUAAAGGGCGCGUAGGCGGGCUGACCAGUCCGGGGUGAAAGGCCGAGGCUCAACCGCGGAACGGCCUCGGAUACUGCCGGCCUCGAGGGGGGUAGGGGCGUCUGGAACUGUCGGUGGAGCGGUGAAAUUCGUUGAUAUCGACAGGAACUCCGGUGGCGAAGGCGAGGCGCUGGACCCCUUCUGACGCUGAGGUGCGAAAGCCAGGGGAGCGAACGGG
rnacentral:rRNA from 1 species